ACACGUAGGAGACGAGCGUUAUCCGGAAUUACUGGGUGUAAAGCGCGUGCAGGCGGCAUGGCAAGAUAGAUGUGAAAGCUCCCGGCUUAACUGGGGGAGGUCGUUUAUGACUGCCAGGCUAGAGGGUGCCAGAGGGAAGCGGAAUUCCGAGUGUAGCGGUAAAAUGCAUAGAUAUUCGGAAGAACACCAGUGGCGAAGGCGGCUUUCUGGGGUACAACUGACGCUCAGACGCGAAAGCCAGGGUAGCAAACGGGAUUAGAGACCCCGGUAGUCCUGGCAGUAAACGAUGUGGACAAGGCGUAGGUGGGUUCAAAUCCAACUGUGCCGAAGCGAACGCGAUAAGUCCACCACCUGGGGACUACGGCCGCAAGGUUAAA
rnacentral:rRNA from 1 species